rnacentral:rRNA from 1 species
GACGAACGCUGGCGGCGUGCCUAAUACAUGCAAGUAGAACGCUGAAGGAGGAGCUUGCUCUUCUGGAUGAGUUGCGAACGGGUGAGUAACGCGUAGGUAACCUGCCUGGUAGCGGGGGAUAACUAUUGGAAACGAUAGCUAAUACCGCAUAACAUUGACUAUUGCAUGAUAGUCAAUUAAAAGGUGCAAAUGCACCACUACCAGAUGGACCUGCGUUGUAUUAGCUAGUUGGUGGGGUAACGGCUCACCAAGGCGACGAUACAUAGCCGACCUGAGAGGGUGAUCGGCCACACUGGGACUGAGACACGGCCCAGACUCCUACGGGAGGCAGCAGUAGGGAAUCUUCGGCAAUGGACGGAAGUCUGACCGAGCAACGCCGCGUGAGUGAAGAAGGUUUUCGGAUCGUAAAGCUCUGUUGUAAGAGAAGAACGAGUGUGAGAGUGGAAAGUUCACACUGUGACGGUAGCUUACCAGAAAGGGACGGCUAACUACGUG